rnacentral:rRNA from 1 species
UACGUAGGGGGCAAGCGUUGUCCGGAUUCAUUGGGCGUAAAGAGCGUGUAGGCGGCCAGACAGGUCCGUUGUGAAAACUCGAGGCUCAACCUCGAGAUGUCGAUGGAAACCGUCUGGCUAGAGUCCGGAAGAGGAGUGUGGAAUUCCUGGUGUAGCGGUGAAAUGCGCAGAUAUCAGGAAGAACACCGGUGGCGAAGGCGGCCAUCUGGCCCAUUUUUGACGCUGAGGCGCGAAAGCGUGGGGAGCAAACAGG